rnacentral:rRNA from 1 species
UACAGAGGGGGCAAGCGUUGUUCGGAAUUACUGGGCGUAAAGGGCGCGUAGGCGGCCCUCUAAGUCAGACGUGAAAUCCCUCGGCUCAACCGGGGAACUGCGUCUGAGACUGGGGGGCUUGAAUCCGGGAGAGGGAUGUGGAAUUCCAGGCGUAGCGGUGAAAUGCGUAGAUAUCUGGAGGAACACCGGUGGCGAAGGCGGCAUCCUGGACCGGUAUUGACGCUGAGGCGCGAAAGCCAGGGGAGCAAACGGG